GGUCACCACAAGAGCUCCAUUGCCAUGCAAUAUGGGGGGUAUGGGUUUACAUUUCUUGAAUGAUAGGUAACAGCUGAACACGCUUCGAAUGGAAAGAGAUAAUGUUGUAUACAUAAAAUAAAAAAAGCCAACAAAAAAUGAUUCAGAUUAUCUCCAUACUGGAAACCAUGUCAGAUUGGUGAAAACAAGCUUAAGUGUAUAUUUUACUGCCAAAUACCUGAUGUAUACUUCAAAAAUACCAGCAAUUUUCUAGGAAGAUAGACGUUGCUUAACCAUAUGGUUUAAUAAAUAUUCUGUUAUUGUGAA